rnacentral:rRNA from 1 species
AUUGAACGCUGGCGGCAUGCCUUACACAUGCAAGUCGAACGGCAGCGGGGACUUCGGUCCGCCGGCGAGUGGCGAACGGGUGAGUAAUAUAUCGGAACGUACCUUUCAGUGGGGGAUAACGUAGCGAAAGUUACGCUAAUACCGCAUAUUCUGUGAGCAGGAAAGCAGGGGAUCUUCGGACCUUGCGCUGAUUGAGCGGCCGAUAUCAGAUUAGCUAGUUGGUGAGGUAAAGGCUCACCAAGGCGACGAUCUGUAGCGGGUCUGAGAGGAUGAUCCGCCACACUGGAACUGAGACACGGUCCAGACUCCUACGGGAGGCAGCAGUGGGGAAUUUUGGACAAUGGGGGCAACCCUGAUCCAGCCAUGCCGCGUGAGUGAAGAAGGCCUUCGGGUUGUAAAGCUCUUUCGGCCGGGAAGAAAUCGCACGGGUUAAUACCCCGUGUGGAUGACGGUACCGGAAUAAGAAGCACCGGCUAACUACGUGCCAGCCGCCGCUGUAAUAC